rnacentral:rRNA from 1 species
GAUGAACGCUGGCGGCGUGCUUAACACAUGCAAGUCGAGCGAAAAGGCGCGGAUCUUGCUGGUUGCACGUGAGGGGCGGAUGGGUGAGUCACAUGAACGUACCCCCCCUUUAAGUCUGGGACGACUACGGGAAGCUGGAUAUAACAUCGGAGAAGAUUCUGAACCGGGGGGUUCGAUAGGGAAAGAUGGCUUUGCUGGCUCUACUAGAGGGUCCUCCGCUGGAUUAGUUAGUUGGUAGGGUAACGGCUUACCAAGGCGACCAUCCGUGGCCGACCUGAGAGGGUGAUCGGCCACACUGGAACUGAGACACGGUCCAGACUCCUACGGGAGGCAGCAGUAGGGAAUGUUCGGCAAUGGGGGCAACCCUGACCCAGCGACGCCGCGUGUGGGAUGAAGGCCUUCGGGUCGUAAACCUCUGUUGUUCGUGAAGAACACCUCUGGCCGAAGACGCCGGGGGCAUGACGGUACCGGAUCAAUAAGCACCGGCUAACUACGUG